UGCCAUGGGGACAGGGACAGUGCCAUGGGGACAGGGACAGCGUCAGGGGAACAGGGACAGUGUCAGGGGACAGGGACAGUGCCAUGGGGACAGGGACAGCAUCAGGGGACAGGGACAGUGUCAGGGGACAGGGACAGUGCCAUGGGGACAGGGACAGCGUCAGGGGACAGGGACAGUGCCAUGGGGACACCACGGGGACAGGGACAGUGUCAGGGGGACAAGGACAGUGUCAGGGGGACAUCAUGGGGACAGGGACAGUUGUCAGGGGACAGGGACAGUGUCAGGGGGACACCAUGGGGACAGGGACAGUGGGACAGGGAUGGGGACAGGGAC